rnacentral:rRNA from 1 species
UACCAGUACCCCGAGUGGUCGGGACGAUUAUUGGGCCUAAAGCAUCCGUAGCCGGUCCUGCAAGUCUUCCGUUAAAUCCAGCUGCUCAACAGAUGGGCUGCGGAGGAUACUACAGGGCUAGGAGGCGGGAGAGGCAAGCGGUACUUUAUGGGUAGGGGUAAAAUCCGUUGAUCCAUAGAAGACCACCAGUGGCGAAGGCGGCUUGCCAGAACGCGCUCGACGGUGAGGGAUGAAAGCUGGGGGAGCAAACAGG